ACGGGUGAGUAAUGUCUGGGGAUCUGCCCGAUAGAGGGGGAUAACCACUGGAAACGGUGGCUAAUACCGCAUAACGUCGCAAGACCAAAGAGGGGGACCUUCGGGCCUCUCACUAUCGGAUGAACCCAGAUGGGAUUAGCUAGUAGGCGGGGUAAUGGCCCACCUAGGCGACGAUCCCUAGCUGGUCUGAGAGGAUGACCAGCCACACUGGAACUGAGACACGGUCCAGACUCCUACGGGAGGCAGCAGUGGGGAAUAUUGCACAAUGGGCGCAAGCCUGAUGCAGCCAUGCCGCGUGUAUGAAGAAGGCCUUCGGGUUGUAAAGUACUUUCAGCGGGGAGGAAGGCGAUGCGGUUGAUAACCGCGUCGAUUGACGUUACCCGCAGAAGAAGCACCGGCUAACUCCGUGCCAGCAGCCGCGGUAAUACGGAGGGUGCAAGCGUUAAUCGGAAUUACUGGGCGUAAAGCGCACGCAGGCGGUCUGUUAAGUCAGAUGUGAAAUCCCCGGGCUUAACCUGGGAACUGCAUUUGAAACUGGCAGGCUUGAGUCUUGUAGAGGGGGGUAGAAUUCCAGGUGUAGCG
rnacentral:rRNA from 1 species